rnacentral:tRNA from 1 species
GCGUCGGUGGUUCAGUGGUAGAUACUCGCCUGCCACGCGCGUGGCCCGGGUUCGAUUCCCGGCAGCGGCG